GCGGGAAUAGCUCAGUUGGUAGAGCGCAACCUUGCCAAGGUUGAGGUUCGCGAGUUCGACGCCUCGUUUCCCGCUCCA
rnacentral:tRNA from 1 species